rnacentral:sRNA from 1 species
UUUUUUUUGUGUUUUUA